rnacentral:rRNA from 1 species
UACGGAGGGGGCUAGCGUUGUUCGGAAUUACUGGGCGUAAAGCGCGCGUAGGCGGACCUGCAAGUCGGGGGUGAAAGCCCGAGGCUCAACCUCGGAACUGCCUUCGAUACUGCGGGUCUCGAGUCCGGGAGAGGUGAGUGGAAUUCCUAGUGUAGAGGUGAAAUUCGUAGAUAUUCACAAGAACACCAGUGGCGAAGGCGGCUCACUGGCCCGAUACUGACGCUGAGGCACGAAAGCGUGGGGAGCAAACAGG